UACGGGGGGGGCAAGCGUUGUUCGGAAUUACUGGGCGUAAAGGGCUCGUAGGCGGCCAACUAAGUCGGAUGUGAAAUCCCCAGGCUUAACCUGGGAACUGCAUCCGAUACUGGAUGGCUUGAAUUCGGGAGAGGGAUGCAGAAUUCCAGGUGUAGCGGUGAAAUGCGUAGAUAUCGGGAGGAAUACCAGUGGCGAAGGCGGCUGCCUGGCCUGUUCUUGACGCUGAGGCGCGAAAGCUGGGGGAGCAAACGGGG
rnacentral:rRNA from 1 species